ncrna:Nicotiana tabacum cultivar TN90 Ntab-TN90_scaffold15, whole genome shotgun sequence
GUUCACGAUGACGACUCCGUAAUAUUCAAGCUCAACAGACCGGAUUGCAGGCUCUCUCUUUUUAGAGUUAGUUUGCGUGUCGAAUACCCCGCUGAACUGAGUGAUC